AGAGUCGAGGUUGCCUACCUCUGAGCUUGUUGGAGAACAGCUUGAAGCCAGCUUGCCAGUGAUAAGGAUUUAUCAAACCAUUAUAGACUGGAGCUGUCACUUGGGGGUUUCUGAAAGCAGGUGAACUGUCAAAUAGGAAGAUCACACAAUUUACACUAAGCAGUAUGUAUUAUGCAAACCCAGGAGUAUAUUAACUUUGACUGCCUGAAACCAAUCUGACAGCAAAUAGAUCAGAAGAAGGAAAACAGCAUCAGUAAAAAGGAAGAAGCAAAUCGAAGAAAACAAUUUUAAAAUGAAUAAUUUAAUGCUUGCUGGACCAUUAACAUUUCUGUGGUUUAGAAGAAACUAUACUUUAGACCUCAGUGAAUUUUGUAUCCAAAUAGUUUAAUUCUAUAGCAUUUCUACAAUGCAUCUGCAAGAUGGGCUAGUUUUGCUUCAGCAAGGGAUGUAUGACACAGAGGCAAUGCACUUCUCUUACAUGAGGCAACCAGGUGUGGGAUUUAUGCUGGUGAAGCUACACAGCUUUGACCUUCAGUUGCAGUAUCACAAAAGAUCUUCUGCACAUGUGCUGCUCGUACACAGAAGCAUCUUCUGGCUACCGAAAUUGCCAGCAGUGGCAUGGUGGAAGUGGACAGCUGCAUUUCUUCAUAACAGCUUUAAAGAACUGCUUCAUAGGAAAAUUGCUCAAAUUCAGCAAUCUUAUCAAAGCUUGCACAUAAUAACAGCUAUAAGAAAUCUAGACACUUGGACUCAUUUUUAAAAAUUAAAAGUGAAAACUCAAAUGCUUGCAAAAACUGAUGUCACACUUGCCUGAUGAUUCUGUAUGUCAUCUGCUAUAAACUCUGGAGAGGGUGGAUGGGAGGGGGAAUGCUUGAGGGAAAGCAAAAGUAACUACUGUAUCUCCCCAAGACACUGCUUCAAGGUCAUCCAGCUGCGAGAAGAAGGUAGCUGUAUACCAAUCUGCUCUUGAAGUGACUGAAUACCAGUCUGCUCUUGAAGUGACUGUUCUGAAAACAUCUUGCUUGAACAUGAUGGUCAUGGGAGGCAGUUACACAGGGAGGGAAAGGUUGAACUUAAGGAUUUUGGUGCCGAUUUUCAGUUCUGGCUAUGCAUUACACUUGACUUCUAAUCAAAUUAUACCUUUCUCAACAAAUGGUGCCAAUAAUCAUUUAUAUUUAGAGGUUUAAAUGCUGGCAGAUCUGACACUGUAACUGCAUUUGCUUAUUAUAUGCCUGGGCUUGCAUAGAAGGAUCCGAUUUGAAAAAUAAAAGACAAAAAAAGCUUUUGAUUCCUAGAAAUUAAUAGUCAUAUAUGUUUUGUCAUGAAAGUGAUGAUAUUGUAAAGGAUCUCUGCCAGCUGGACUCUUUCCUGGUAAAACAGACUUGCUUGCUAUUAACCAUGUGUUGAUUUCUUUUUGUGCUAGUACUAAGCGUUCUGCAUGGACAGCCUUUGAACAAUAGAUUAAACUGCUUUGGAUCCAAUAAAUGACUACUAAAUUACUAAGUGAAACUACUCCUUGGGCUCCAUUACAAGUACUCCUUAACUUAUGACCGUUCAACGUUAUGACCUACCUAAAAAAAGGAGACUUAUGACCUGGAUAGGAAAUUCUGAUGGUUGCCCCCCUCCCCUCACAGUCAUGUGACUGCACUUCAGAUAUUUAGCAGUCGGGCUGCAUUUACAGCUGUUUGCAGUGUCCUGUGUCCUAUUACUGCAUUUUA